rnacentral:ncRNA from 1 species
UAUUGCGCCCGAUGGUGUGGCAAUCGGAAACGACCCAAUGCGCUUGUAGACGCAUAGGACACCUAAUGGGCGCACUUUU